ensembl:rRNA 5S_rRNA 5S ribosomal RNA
CCAUUUAGCAAUGAAAUUUUUCAAGCAAAAUAUAGCCCAGAUAAAAAAGUAGUGUCUCAGAAGCUAAGCAAGGUCAGGCCUGGUUAGUACUUGGAUGGGAGACCACCUAGGAAGACCAGGUGCUGUAGGC